rnacentral:rRNA from 1 species
UGGCUCAGAAUCAACGCUGGCGGCGUGCCUCAGACAUGCAAGUCGAACGAUUAAGACUCUCUUCGGAGAGUGUAUAAAGUGGCGCACGGGUGAGUAACACGUAGGUAAUGUACCGAAGGGUGGGGAAUAACUUAGGGAAACUUAAGCUAAUACCGCAUAAUGCAGCGGCUCGACAUCGAGACAGUUGUUAAAGGAGCAAUCCGCCUUUUGAGCAGCCUGCGGCAGAUUAGCUAGUUGGUAAGGUAAUGGCUUACCAAGGCUACGAUCUGUAACCGACCUGAGAGGGUGGUCGGUCACACUGACACUGAAUAACGGGUCAGACUCCUACGGGAGGCAGCAGUCGGGAAUUUUGGGCAAUGGGCGAAAGCCUGACCCAGCAACGCCGCGUGAAGGAUGAAGUAUUUCGGUAUGUAAACUUCGUAAGAAUAGGAAGAAUAAAUGACGGUACUAUUUGUAAGGUCCGGCUAACUACGUG